rnacentral:rRNA from 1 species
AUUGAACGCUGGCGGCAUGCCUUACACAUGCAAGUCGAACGGUAACAGGUCCUCGGAUGCUGACGAGUGGCGAACGGGUGAGUAAUACAUCGGAACGUGCCCGAUCGUGGGGGAUAACGCAGCGAAAGCUGUGCUAAUACCGCAUACGAUCUACGGAUGAAAGCGGGGGAUCGCAAGACCUCGCGCGGACGGAGCGGCCGAUGGCAGAUUAGGUAGUUGGUGGGAUAAAAGCUUACCAAGCCGACGAUCUGUAGCUGGUCUGAGAGGACGACCAGCCACACUGGGACUGAGACACGGCCCAGACUCCUACGGGAGGCAGCAGUGGGGAAUUUUGGACAAUGGGCGCAAGCCUGAUCCAGCCAUGCCGCGUGCAGGAUGAAGGCCUUCGGGUUGUAAACUGCUUUUGUACGGAACGAAAAAGCUCUCUCUAAUACAGGGGGUGAAUGACGGUACCGUAAGAAUAAGCACCGGCUAACUACGUG